AAAACAGUUUAAGAGCAACGGCAGUUUUGUUCUGGAUGUUGAGAAGGUUUAUUUAUUUAUUUUUAAAAUACAUUUCGAAAGCUUCAGAAGAGGAACAGCGUGGGUUGGUUUUUUUUUUUUUUUUUUUUUUUUUUUUUUUUUUUUUUUUUUUUUUUUUUUUUUUUUGGUGCGUGUGUGUUGGGUGAUAUAAUAACCACGUGGCCUCGCUGUCUUUAGGGAGGUGCUGGAGGCACUUCAGAAUAAAGCAUGCCUUUAUAACGAUCCGCACUGGGUGGCCUGUGCUGUGGCUCAGAAAUGGGUGAUGAAAUGGGGCAGGCCAGCGUGUGCAGCUCUGGUGAAUGCUGCAGCACAGUGGAAAAAACCAACCCCGUGCAUGGGGCUGCGCUGUUUGCUCACACGUGGAGCACGGCUUCGGGUGCCUCUCCCGCAGCUCCACAUUUUUUUGCUCCAUUUAACUAAAGGUGAGCUAAGGUAAUUGGUUUUUCUCUUUAAUGUACCUCCUGGUUUGUGUCAGCUGUCCCCGGCAGGAUGUGAUGUGUUUUCCUUUGGAUCGCGGAGCACUUACAUAACUGUGUGCUUAUCAUUCACCGUUCGGUUUGUUUUUCCCUGGUGACUUCUGGAAGGAGGGAUGUUGUCUCUCACAAGACUUCAUGCAGAGGUUCUGCAUUUUGCUCUGCUCUUGGUUCUCCCAAUGGACAGCUCUACCCCCAUCCUAGCUGCUUGCUUCUCCCCCAGACUGUCACAUGGUGGCGAGGCCUUGGGAAGAAGAAGUACAGCCCUGUGUCAUGGGCAAAUCUUGCAGGCUGUCCUUGGUGAUGUGCCAGGUUGUUUCUUCACAGUGAGCGCUGCAGAUGCGGGACUGUGUGUGGGAGGAAGGGCUUUUAUUUUCUCCUGCUCUGUGCAGUUUCUCACUGAAACAGGAUGUGUAGUAUCUGUGAGUUUUUCAGUCUGUUUGGCUGACUUUGUGUUUAGUGACUGUAAUUUCACCACAGAUAGUGACUUUAGAGAACUGCAGUGUUUGGUAUCUGCUAAGAGCUGGGUCCAAAGUAACAGCAGUGGGUCUGUCCUUGUGGAGAUGGCCUUAACUGGCACUGACCAGAGGAAAAGUAAAGGGGUGAGAGACUCACAAGGUACAAUCCCCUCAGCUGGUCCUUAAGGGUCUGCAGCUGUGGGUGUUGGUGACACAAACGCAGCUGAACCCAGUGUUCUGAGGUGACAGCGUGUGGGCUGCAGGCUGGAAUCACAGCAAAAGUGAACUUACUGAUAGCUGUGGGAAUUUCUUUCUUGCUUGGAGCCAUUUUAUGUUUAUCUUGUGGGGUGGUUCAGUUCAACUCCAGGUGUUGUUAAGGUGGGGUGUAGAUCUGUGGGUCUCAGCUGAACCUAGCUGUAAAAGACCUCGGCCUCUUCCUGACACUGAGUUGACUCUGAGCCAGGAGCAUGUUGCUGUUGCUCUCCUGUUUCCUCAGAGUUAAUGAGGCUUUUUGUUUUCUGUCUCACCUGUUAACCCCAGGUGUUGCAUGUGGUUGAAGGAGAUGUGAGUUACCAGCCAAAUGCUGAGGAAAUGCUGCGGGCACAGGGUGGGAUGAGGCUGUGAGCUGCCCUGGGCUGCUCAGAACCAGUUCAGUCCAGCUCUAAUACCUUUGGCAUGCUGGAGAUCCAGCCAGCAGGGUGGGCUGAUGUCACCUGCCAUGUUGUGCCUUGGUGGGGAUGUCCCCUCACAUUGGAGGGGCUCAGUGCUGAGGGGACAGCAGCCUGGUCGUGCUGGAUCAGGGGUGCUGAGGCAUGGCAUGAAGGAUGGGUGAUGGACCAGAGGCCUCAGGCAGCUAUCCUCUGGCCCACAAGUUGCCCUUACCUCAUGAGAGAGACAGGGGGGUUGAGGUAGCUUGUGUCGUACAUUGGGAAAGCAGAGACUUAAGGCAGGAGAGUGUAGGUGUUUGGCUGAGAGGAUGGGGAAAGGGAAGGAAAGGAAUGUACGGACCGUUUGUGUUCUUCUUUUGGUGUUCUUCACCCUCCUUAGCAGUAAUCAGAAGUUUGUAUAAUUGGCAAUAAGUGAGUUUAAGAUUUCCCUGAGAUAAGACUGUUCUGCCAGGGGUGGUUGCUGUUGGAGGGCAUGUGCAGUGCUCGGUGCUGUUGUCUCCCAGACAGGAGUAAUGGAGAGACUCCAGGGCUCUGAAGGGAGCCAUGAUCCCAGUCCUGGGAAUACAGGGUGGUGUGUGAAGGUGGUUGGGUGAAGUACAGAUGCUGUGAAAAGUCAGAGAAAGGAGGGACCUGGGGACACCACUGGGAAAACAGGCAUUAACAAAUGUUCAGAGUGAAGGGGAGGCAGUUGGUCAGAAGCAGGCAGUUAGUGCUGAGCUGGCCGGUUUGGAGGCUAUGCAUCAGCCAGCUGAGUGACCAACUCAGGGCAGGGCUGCAACACCCUGGGGGAGAAACAGGUCUUGUGGUGAAGUAAAAGCAAAGCUUUUUCAGGCAUCCCCAGCUGCAAUCAUUAUGUAGACCUGUGGAGAUGAGUGCGUGUGUGCCCAGUGAGCGAGUGCGCUGCCAGCAGUUCUUUGCCCACAGUGAAAUUACAGAACUGCUGGACACUGGCAGCAUGGCUGUGCUGGGAAAAGCCGGCGCACAUGGAGUAUGGCUUUUGCUAUGGGAGAAGUGAGCAGAACUCUGGGAAGUUAGGGCUCUACUGCUUGCAAGCACUGCCCUGCACACGAGAAGAAGGCUUGGGACCCAUGAAGAGCUAUGUGGAGCACUGAUCCUGCUCAUCCCACAGGUGAGAUAUGCCCACAGAAGGACUGGGAGGAAGAAGGAAAUAAUUGCAGUUGCUUGGACCACUGGAUUGUGUUCACAAGCCGGGGGAAAGGACCCUGAAAAAUUACAAUAACUGAGGCCAUGGCUCAGAAACUCUGAUGGCUGACUCCCCUCUGGUACUGCCUGCAAAAAACUCCAGGAACAACAACAACAAACAAUCCCUGAACACGUAUCCUGUGAUUUCAUUUAUAGCAGGAGCAGCAAGAAAGCUAGGUAAAUUGAUAGGAAGAAUAUUAGACCAAGCUCCAGAAGAAGACAGGACAAGACCAUCUUCAGUAUUCUGCACUGUUCUGUGAGUUUUGCCCCUGGAAAGGAAGGAAUUAAUAUCUUCUAUCAAAAUAAGUUUUCUGCAUCAAACUGUAUGAGAUACUUAAGAGAAGCUGCCACUCCUUCUCCCUGAGAGUUUGGGAAUGCUGAGAGACGAUCCCUGCUUGUUCUGGAGGUUGAAGGAUGCCAGAUCACUCAUAAUCACUCACCUUAAAGUUCUCCACAAUGUGCUGUGGCAUGAUAGACUUGGGGAUCGCAAUCACAUUUCUCUUGAUCCGGAAGCUAAGGAGAACAUGCAGGAGAUCACCGUGUCCCUUGCUGCAGGUCUCCUCUGAGGGAUGGCUGCCCUCCAGAGGCUGUAGGAAAAAGCACGAUGUAGUUUUCUUGAUGGGAAUUAUCCCAGGGGGAAUUAAUGUCCAUUACGUGCAGAUGGCUCUGGAAAGGACAAGUAAGUAGUACUCAGUAUGCCCUGAAUCCAUUAGCCCAAGGCAGACUGCAACCACAGAUCCUUGAAGUACCAUGUUGUUGCAACACCUGCUAGCUCUCUUAGCACUGCUCAAUGACACAGCCUCCUUCUCUGCAUUCCCCUCCACCAGCGAAAGGCUUUACUCAUACACAAACCUAGUUAAAUCAGUCCUGUCCCAGUUAUUGUGCUAGCACAGCCUGGAGAGGAACAUGACACUUAUUCCAGCUGAAUGCAUCAGGCUUUGGGCAGCAGCCCAGCAUCAGCAAUUUAAAGUAGAGGGUGCAAGGUGGAACUGCUAUUCAGUAUUACAUAAUGCUGCCUUCACUCAAUCUCUGUUACCGCAGCCAAAUGCCAGCACCAGCUGCUAACUAAAUCUGUUUGUAGCAGUAACACCAUACAGCCUUCUACCAGUUUCAGUCUCCUGGUUCUUGAUACACAGCCCACACUAAGCCAUGUCACAGUCACUGCUGCUGUCUGCAUUGUUCCAUCAACUAAUGUUUAUUGUACUGAGGUAUUAAACUCUUGAUCAAGAUAAGAUCUUGGUACUCCUAUGACAGUUUAAAAUGCAUAAUAGGUUCAGAUGACAUUUUUAACACAAUGGCAUUGGUUUACCAAUUUUUCCACAUUAGACAACAGCUUCCACACCAUCAGUAGUCAAACUUCUUUAUUUUUUAGAGAAUACAGACACAAAGCAUAGUUCAGUUUUGGCUGUAAAGAAUGUGACUGCAAUAAAACCACUAUGCAUCUAUAA